UACGGGGGGGGCAAGCGUUGUUCGGAAUUACUGGGCGUAAAGGGCUCGUAGGCGGCCAACUAAGUCAGACGUGAAAUCCCUCGGCUUAACCGGGGAACUGCAUCUGAUACUGGAUGGCUUGAGAUCGGGAGAGGGAAGCGGAAUUCCGGGUGUAGCGGUGAAAUGCGUAGAUAUCCGGAGGAACACCGGUGGCGAAGGCGGCUUCCUGGACCGACACUGACGCUGAGGCGCGAAAGCUAGGGGAGCAAACGGG
rnacentral:rRNA from 1 species